UACGUAGGGACCGAGCGUUUGUCCGGAAUCAUUGGGCGUAAAGAGCGUGUAGGCGGCCACUUAAGUCCUGCGUGAAAUCUUGCGGCUCAACCGCAAGCGGUCGUGGGAAACUGGGUGGCUAGAGUGCGGGAGAGGAGAGUGGAAUUCCUGGUGUAGCGGUGGAAUGCGCGAUAUCAGGAAGAACACCCGUGGCGAAGGCGGCUCUCUGGAACGCAACUGACGGCUGAGACG
rnacentral:rRNA from 1 species